CCCCACUGCUAUCGGGAUAGGACUAAGACAUGCUAGUCAAGCGCUCUCAAGCCAACAAGAGAGUGCGGCACACAGCUCAGUAACACGUGGCUAACCUGCCCUCGAGACGGAAACAACCCCGGGAAACUGGGGCUAACUCCUGAUAGGCGAAGAGCUCUGGAAUGAGCCUUCACCACAAAAGGCGAUUAGGUUAUGCUCCUAGUCGUCACUCGAGGAUGGGGCCGCGACCGAUCAGGUUGUUGGUGAGGUAAUGGCUCACCAAGCCUUUGACCGGUGCGGGCCGUGGGAGCGGGAGCCCGGAGAUGGGCACUGAGACAAGGGCCCAGGCCCUACGGGGCGCAGCAGUCGCGCAAACUUUGCAAUACACAAAAGUGUGACAGGGCUAUCCCGAGUGCCUUCCGCUGAGGAUGGCUUUUACCCAGUCUAGAAAGCUGGGAGAAUAAGGAGAGGGCAAGUCUGGUGUCAGCCGCCGCGGUAAUACCAGCUCUCCGAGUGGUGUGGAUGUUUAUUGGGCCUAAAGCAUCCGUAGCUGGCCAAGCCAGUCCCCUGUUAAACCCAACGAAUUAAUCGUUGGAUUGCGGGGGAUACUGCUCGGCUAGGGGACGAGAGAGGCCGACGGUAUUCUCGGGGUAGGGGUGAAAUCCUAUAAUCCCGAGAAGACUACCAGUGGCGAAGGCUGUCGGCUAGAACGAGCCCGACGGUGAGGGAUGAAAGCUGGGGGAGCGAACCGGAUUAGAUACCCGGGUAGUCCCAGCUGUAAACGAUGCACGCUAGGUGUUUGGACGGCCACGUGCCGUUCUAGUGCCGCAGGGAAGCUGUUAAGCCUGCCGCCUGGGGAGUACGAUCGCAAGGUUGAAACUUAAAGGAAUUGGCGGGGGAGCACCACAAGGGGUGAAGCUUGCGGUUUAAUUGGAUUCAACGCCGG
rnacentral:rRNA from 1 species